CCUACGGGAGGCAGCAGUCGGGAAUAUUGCGCAAUGGAGGAAACUCUGACGCAGUGACGCCGCGUAUAGGAAGAAGGUUUUCGGAUUGUAAACUAUUGUCGUUAGGGAAGAUAAAAGACUGUACCUAAGCAGGAAGCCCCGGCUCACUAUGUGCCAGCAGCCGCGGUAAUACACAGGGGGCCAGCGUUAUCCGGAAUUAUUGGGUGUAAAGGGUGCGUAGACGGAAGAACAAGUUGGUAGUGAAAUCCCUCGGCUCAACUGAGGAACUGCAACCAAAACUAUUCUCCUUGAGUGUCGGAGAGGAAAGUGGAAUUCGUGGUGUAGCGGUGAAAUGCGUAGAUAUAAGGAGGAACACCAGUGGCGAAGGCGGUCUGCUGGACAGCAACUGACGGUGAGGCGCGAAAGCGUGGGGAGCAAACAGGAUUAGAUACCCCAGUAGUC
rnacentral:rRNA from 1 species